rnacentral:rRNA from 1 species
GACUCUAAGCGAUGGAUCUCUCGGUUCGCGGGUCGAUGAAGAACGCAGCCAGCUGCGAGACUUGGUGUGAAUUGCAGGACACACUGAGCACUUACUCUUUGAACGCACAUUGCGGCCUCGGGCCUUCCCGUGGCUUCGUCUGUGUGAGGGUCG